UACGGAGGAUGCAAGCGUUAUCCGGAUUCAUUGGGUUUAAAGGGUGCGCAGGCGGAUUGUUAAGUCAGGGGUGAAAUCCUACAGCUCAACUGUAGAACUGCCCUUGAUACUGUCAGUCUAGAGUAUAGUUGAAGUGGGCGGAAUGUGUCAUGUAGCGGUGAAAUGCUUAGAUAUGACACAGAACACCGAUCGCGAAGGCAGCUCGCUAAGCUAUAACUGACGCUCAUGCACGAAAGCGUGGGGAUCAAACAGG
rnacentral:rRNA from 1 species